rnacentral:rRNA from 2 species
UUUAAUUGAAGAGUUUGAUCAUGGCUCAGAUUGAACGCUGGCGGCAGGCCUAACACAUGCAAGUCGAGCGGUAACAGAAAAGAAGCUUGCUUCUUUUGCUGACGAGCGGCGGACGGGU